GUGGGGAAUAUUGGACAAUGGGGGGAACCCUGAUCCAGCCAUGCCGCGUGUGUGAAGAAGGCCUUUUGGUUGUAAAGCACUUUAAGCGAGGAGGAGGCUACCGAGAUUAAUACUCUUGGAUAGUGGACGUUACUCGCAGAAUAAGCACCGGCUAACUCUGUGCCAGCAGCCGCGGUAAUACAGAGGGUGCAAGCGUUAAUCGGAUUUACUGGGCGUAAAGCGCGCGUAGGUGGCCAAUUAAGUCAAAUGUGAAAUCCACGAGCUUAACUUGGGAAUUGCAUUCGAUACUGGUUGGCUAGAGUAUGGGAGAGGAUGGUAGAAUUCCAGGUGUAGCGGUGAAAUGCGUAGAGAUCUGGAGGAAUACCGAUGGCGAAGGCAGCCAUCUGGCCUAAUACUGACACUGAGGUGCGAAAGCAUGGGGAGCAAACAGGAUUAGAUACCCCUGUAGUCC
rnacentral:rRNA from 1 species